UCCAGCCCCUUAUUGCCGUUCUCCCGCCCGUUUCCCACCCACCAGUGUUGUCCAUGAAAACGAAAGCUUACAGACUGGGUCUAGCUCUUCGACUGACUCACUCGAUUGGCGGUGGCUUGGCUGCAAUGGUUCAUAAAUCGUUCCCACCGGCCCUGGAUUGACUGGAUGGCUUCAAACAAUACUAUUUAAAACACGCCAAGCAUCUCUCCACGAAACGUGGAUCAAGAAUAGCCUUCAUGUCAAUGGCAUCAUGACCCAGACCAUGGGUUUUCAUUGCCCUCCAUCAACUCCACAUUAACUGAAGUCGUCAAUGGCUUUUACUACUGUUUGACUGUAUUUCACCCAGCCAACUAUAUUUUGUUAAUGAUUUGUAUCAACAAAUCAAGAAUGCGGGACCUUCCCAGCGCUCAUCUUCGUCUAUGGCCUUCGCUUAUGGCGUCCCAGCUCCCCCAGCUCAUCCUGAAAUCGGCCAAUGACUCCCUUUUCAAAUUAGUCAGGACAUACCUCUGAGGGUCUUAGUAUGCCAAAAAUGCAUGGAUGCAUUUCAUGAGCAAAUUUGAGCCCCUUGCCAUCGACUGAACAAUUGUUGGGAACCUGACCUUUUCGGACGCAAUUUCCGGACAAACCAUGCUCUUCCAGGUCAACAAUGUGGCAUCAUAUGAUUGUCCUGGGACCAACAUUUCUUUGGAAUAUUGACGGUCGCACCCAAUUGUCCGGCCACAAGAUUGGCAAUCUGUCACAUCGAGCCAUCCUCUACUCUACAACUACCAAAAUUUCCAUCACUAUUCCUCUUCAAUGGCGUUUAUCUUACUUAUUCCUGAAAACUGAGCUGAUUGUUGUCAAUGUCAUCUGUAUUUUCACCUGGUUAUCAAUAUACAUAUCAAUUCAACCCUG